GAUGAACGCUGGCGGCGUGCCUAAUACAUGCAAGUCGAGCGAACAGACGAGGAGCUUGCUCCUCUGACGUUAGCGGCGGACGGGUGAGUAACACGUGGAUAACCUACCUAUAAGACUGGGAUAACUUCGGGAAACCGGAGCUAAUACCGGAUAAUAUAUUGAACCGCAUGGUUCAAUAGUGAAAGACGGUUUUGCUGUCACUUAUAGAUGGAUCCGCGCCGCAUUAGCUAGUUGGUAAGGUAACGGCUUACCAAGGCAACGAUGCGUAGCCGACCUGAGAGGGUGAUCGGACACACUGAAACUGAGACACGGCCCAGACUCAUACGGGAGGCAGGAGUAGAGACUCCUGCGCAGUGGGCGAAAGUGUGACAGAGAAACGCCGCGUGAGUGAUGAAGGUCUUCGGAUUGAAACACUCUGUUAUUAGGGAAGAACAAAUGUGUAAGUAACUAUGCACGUCUAGACGGUACAUAAACAGAAAGCCACGGAUAACUACG
rnacentral:rRNA from 1 species